GAUACUGAAUUUUCACUUGACUGAAGACGCCAGUUUGUAAGCAUCACACAAACUCUUCAGGCGAGCAGGUGAGUGUUUUGAAUAAAACUGCUCUGGAACUAGCUACCUCUUCAUAGUUUCACAUGCUCUUGCAAAUAUCUUCUUAUCUCUUCUCAGUUUGUUAGGUAUAGAAAUUAAACAACGGGGAAACCUGGAAGCCAGACCCAGCACAUCUCUGUCUGAAACUUUGAACUGACUAAAUAAGAAAAUAAAAGAUAUGUACUGAUGGUAACUAUUUUACCUCUCCAUGUUGAAGGCUAACGGCUUACUAAAUUAAGCUUUUCAUGGUGAUAUAUUUUGAGCUCAUACCACUCUCUGCUAAGUUCCAAUUCCAGCUGUUGUCAUUUUAAAAGAGAAACAAGGAGCAUGAUUACAUCUUCAGUUUCAUACUUAGAUAUUGAGGAGUCACAUGAUGUGGGAUUUGUAUGUUUGUAUGAUGGCCAUUGCUAUACUAUGGUUCUCAAGCCAACAGGUUGUCAACUUGUUCCACAUUUGCCUGCCACCAAAGAGCCUGGACGGAGGAUGCUAUCGAGGAACUGUUGUGAAGUUGGUUCUGUGGUUGGCCCGUGGACACCAUGACAUCAUGGGAACGAGGAAUGGUUUGACUGAAUCCAAGGACUUCCUCAAGCUGACCCCUAACCCUAAGGCCUUCGGUGCCAUGGAAAAGCAGUAACCCAUUCAGGGCUUCAGCAUUCUACUGAUUGAGCCACAUAGGAAGAUCAAAACCUCCUGGUUAGUUAUAUAAUCAUAUUUUGAUUUUCUAUAGUGCAACAUUAAUCGGAUACACUAUGAUAGAAGCCGGAACAUACAAGCAAUCUACGCUUGUGUAAGAUUGGCCCGUUAUAGCUAAACAACAAAAUAGUGUUCUCGCUUGGUCCAAAUCAAAAUUAGGGGCCCUAUGUUGUAUUCCUCUUGUGGCAGAUAUUGCUUAUAGGGUUUUCCAAGAAUAUGAGUAUGUAUUUUAUGUCAGUUUUUCUUUUUCUUUUUCUUUUUUGGGCCUUAAGAAAAUAUUGACAUGUGAUGUUGAAUGAAAUAUUUGAAAUG